ensembl:rRNA 5S_rRNA 5S ribosomal RNA
ACCGGUAGCCAUUUCACCCUGCAGCCCAAGACCAGUUACUCACUGAAGCUAAGCAGGGCUGAGCCUGGUUAGUACCUGGAUGGAAGACCACUUGGGAAAACAAGGUGGCUGUUGGAA